AGGUAGGAACACGUAGGUACGUACCAAGAAGUCAGGGAUAUUCCGGCGAAAGUCGGCGCAAUACUUGAUGGUCUCCCAAAUUCAUAUUUGGGAGUAAAGAUUUAUCGCUUCUUGAACGGCCUGCGGGCUAUCAGCUAGUUGGUACGGUAACGGCGUACCAAGGCUACGACGGCUAGGGGAGGUGAGAGCCUGACCCCCACCGAUGGAACUGAGACACGGUCCAUACUCCUACGGGAGGCCGCAGUCGAGAAUCUUCCGCAAUGGGCGAAAGCCUGACGGAGCGACGCCGCGUGGUGGAUGAAGUCCUUAGGGACGUAAACACCUUUUAUGAGUGAAGAAGUUUAUUGACAUUAGCUCAUGAAUAAGGGGCUCCCAACUCUGUGCCAGCAGGAGCGGUAAUACAGAGGCCUCAAGCGUUAUCCGGAUUCACUGGGCGUAAAGGGUGCGUAGGCGGUUAUAUUAGUCGGGUGUAAAAUCCUAGGGCUCAACCUUAGGCUCGCGUUCGAAACGGUAUAACUAGGAGUAGUGAGAGGUGAACAGAACUCACGGUGUAGGGGUGAAAUCCGUUGAUAUCGUGGGGAAUACCAAAUGCGAAGGCAGUUCACUGGCGCUUACUCGACGCUGAGGCACGAAAGCGUGGGUAGCGAACGGGAUUAGAUACCCCGGUAGUCCACGCCCUAAACGCUGUCCGCUGGCUUUAGGGAGAAUCGACCCUCCCUGAGGCGAAGGUAACCCGUUAAGCGGACCGCCUGGGUAGUACGAGCGCAAGCUUAAAACUCAAAGGAAUAGACGGGGGCUCGCACAAGCGGUGGAUCAUGAGGCUUAAUUCGUCGAUAAGCGAAAAACCUUACCCAGGCUAGAAACCAUACUGCACGCUCUCCGAAAGGAGAGAAUCCUUCGAGGGUGUAUGGCAGGUGAUGCAUGGCCGUCGUCAGUUCGUGGCUUGAGCUGUUCCCUUAAGUGGGGAAAAGUAGGCAACCCUCGUUGCUUGUUACAAGUGUCAGGCGAGACUGCUCCCUCUCGGGAGAGGAAGGUGAGGAUG
rnacentral:rRNA from 1 species